rnacentral:rRNA from 1 species
GGGGAAUUUUCCGCAAUGGGCGAAAGCCUGACGGAGCAAUACCGCGUGAGGGAGGAAUGCCUUUGGGUUGUAAACCUCUUUUCUCAGGGAAGAAGAUCUGACGGUACCUGAGGAAUAAGUAUCGGCUAACUCCGUGCCAGCAGCCGCGGUAAUACGGAGGAUGCAAGCGUUAUCCGGAAUCAUUGGGCGUAAAGCGUCCGCAGGUGGUUUCCAAAGUCUGCUGUUAAAGACUGGAGCUCAACUCCGGAACGGCGGUGGAAACUUGGAAACUAGAGUCCGGUAGGGGUAGCAGGAAUUCCCAGUGUAGCGGUGAAAUGCGUAGAUAUUGGGAAGAACAUCGGUGGCGAAGGCGUGCUACUGGACCGUAACUGACACUCAGGGACGAAAGCUAGGGGAGCGAAAGGGAUUAGAUACCCCUGUAGUCCUAGCUGUAAACGAUGGAAACUAGGUGUGGCUUG